rnacentral:rRNA from 1 species
GGAAGUUAAGGGUUCGAAGACGAUCAGAUACCGUCGUAGUCUUAACUAUAAAUGAUACAGACUAGGGAUAGGACACUGUCCAUCUCGACUCCUCCCGUACCUUAGAGAAAUUAUUAAGUCUAUGUGUUCUGGGGGGAGUAUGGUCGCAAGGCUGAAACUUAAAGGAAUUGACGGAAGGGCACACAAAGAGUGGAACCUGCGGCUUAAUUUGACUCAACACGGGAAAACUCACCAGGUCCGGAUACACGUAUGAAAGUCAAGCUGAAAGACUUUACUCAAUGAUGUAAGUGGUGGUGCAUGGUCGUUCUUAGUUCGUGGAUUGAUUUGUCUGGUCUAUUCCGAUAACGAGCGAGACCCCAACGUUCCUAAUAGGAGCGGGAGCCCGGUAGGGGAGCGUGAAGGCGGGCAACUGCUGGAGCCUCCUUUGCUAGCUACCCGCUUAAGACACACUUCUUAGACGUAUCAGAGCCGAUAAGGUUCUUGAAAUGGGUUAAUAACAGGUCAGUCAUGCCCUUAGAUGUUCUGGGCCGCACGCGCGUUACAAUGGCACGUAAAGCGAGUGCUCAUUAACAAGGCGUAACCGGGGCCUACAGGUCCCGGUAACCCUUAGUCCCUGCCUUGACUGGGACAGAUCCUUGCAAUUAUCGAUCUCUAACGAGGAAUUUUUAGUAGGCGCAGGUCAUUAACCUGCGUCGAAUGCGUCCCUGCCCUUUGUACACACCGCC